AGUGAACGCUAGCGAUAGGCUUAACACAUGCAAGUCGAGGGACCGGCGCACGGGUGCGUAACGCGUAUGCAACCUGCCUGUAAUUAGGGAAUAACCCGGUGAAAGUCGGACUCAUCCCCUAUCAUUACAGAUGGGCAUGCGUCCCAUUAGCUUGUUGGUAAGGUAACGGCUUACCAAGGCCACGCUGGGUAGGGGGACUGAGAGGUUGACCCCCUACACGCGUAGUGAGACACGGACCAGACUCCUACGGGAGGAGUCGGGGAGGAAUAUUGGUCGAUGGGCGAGAGCCUGAACCAGCCAAGUCGCGUGAAGGACGACGGUUUAUGGAUUGUAAACUUCUUUGGGAGAGGAAUAUGUACCCGACGAAUAAGUAUCGGCUAACUCCGUGCCAGCAGCCGCGGUAAUAC
rnacentral:rRNA from 1 species